GGGGUCGACUGGUUUUGACAGCGAGUCGUAUUGAAUAGUAAGCAUGUCGCGUCAUGAUAUUGACACGCGUUAAAGGCGAUAUCAAAAUUUAAACGGCGAGAAUAACUACGCUUUAGCUGCUUAAUAAUCUGAAUUAUAGUAAGAUUAAAGCCUAGUCCUGCAAGGCAGGAAAGCUAAAUGUCUCUUGAAAGCCCUGGUAUACGGCGUUCUGAUUAGAGGCAUCGUAAAUGUAAACCUAGGAACAACGGGGCUUCUCUUUUGUUCCGAAAAUUAAGAAGCUAAGUCAUGUGUAUGCUGUUUACAGUGAGCACACGAUCGAAAACCAAUUGUAAACUAAACAUGUAGAAAUCUAUUUAGUAGCUUGUUUGGACGAGGGUUCGAAUCCCUCCGGCUCCACGA
rnacentral:tmRNA from 1 species